UCCUGCAUUCGAAAGUGACUGUGGGCUGCAGGUGCCCUGGUCAUUGAUAGUGCAGGGAGAGGAAUUGUGGAAAGCAGUUCCCCGUGUUUGGAGGGUCCACCCCGUCCCUUCCAAACUCUGGAGCCUUCCCACA